rnacentral:tRNA from 1 species
GGCCCCGUCGUCUAAGGGCUAGGACACCGCUCUUUCAAGGCGGAAAUACGGGUUCGACUCCCGUCGGGGCCA